rnacentral:lncRNA from 1 species
AGCAGAAUGAUAAAAUUUCUUAAAACGAAGUAAUGUAGUUGGUUAAGUUUAAAACAAAUAAUUUGAAGAACGAAAGUCUGUGUAUCAAAUGUGUUGAGUUGAUUUCAGUUCUAAAAGUUUUAAACAUUUGGUAGAGCGGCUUCUCUCUCUUCUUUAGAAAGAGAGUGACAAAUCUCUCUAACCCUCUUACCAAUACAAUAUCCUUCAGAGGGGGAGAGAUUAAGCCGUUUCUUUUUUUUUUUCGAUGUAAUAUAGUUUCGAUCUAUGAUCGUUAUCGGUUUCGCUUUGGCGAUCUUCCCUUUCGCGGUGGCGAUUUUGUAGUGUUAUAGAUUCAACACAAAACAUAGCAGUUCUUCGGUCUCUUGUUUUAUCUCUGUUUUGGUUCCCCUAUUUGUUACGGAUGGAGAAAACGUAUUUGAAACAAGAUAUUGUAAUCAUUAAUAAGAAACAAACACAGAAAUGGAAAAAAAAAAGAAUAAAAGAAGUAGCCACUAAAAAUAUAUAAGGGUUUUUGGAGUUUAGAAGAUGAUGAACGUGUUUGAGAAAAAGGUAAAGAAAAAUCUCAAAUGUGUUUUUUUGUAACAUCAAAAUAUGGAUAUUAUUUUUCAUAAUUGUUUCUUUCUGUUGGGUUUCUAAUAACUCUCAAACUAUCAACAAAGUAGGUAUAAAUUUUAAUAAUGUUUUGUUAUCUGUUGUACCAACCGGUGUGGAAAAAGGUCUUGAUUUCUAGCGGCGGAUAGGCGGAAGAUUGGAGUUGAUGGAGUACAAAGCUUCGUGGUAAAGAAGACGGUGGCGGUAGCUGAGCUGAAGAGUUUCACCGGCGGUGAUAUGAUCAAAAAUACAAAUUUAUGCUUUAUAUGGAAGAUUUAUAUAUCUACAUGAAAAAUACAAAGAAUAACAAAUGAAUCACAUAGAGUACUUUAAACUAUAUUUAUAUCUGUUGGUAUAUAUCUUAAAUUUUUAACAUAAAAUGUUCGCUAGCUGUAUAUAUCUAUUUCUCAAAAAUACAAGAUAUAUUGUUUUACCGUUUCCAAACAUUUAGGGUGAAUGCAACCACCUCACAUGCCAUUCAUAUCUAUAUAUAUAUAUAGUAUUUAAUUAAAAUAAUAGUUUAAUUUAUUAAUUAUAAAAUUACAAAUUUAUUAUUUAAUAAUUUGAAGUAUAAUUAUUUUGCCCCAUGGGAAUAACACUAGUACAUGUAAAAUCACAAAACAUUAGCAGAAUGAUAAAAUUUCUUAAAACGAAGUAAUGUAGUUGGUUAAGUUUAAAACAAAUAAUUUGAAGAACGAAAGUCUGUGUAUCAAAUGUGUUGAGUUGAUUUCAGUUCUAAAAGUUUUAAACAUUUGGUAGAGCGGCUUCUCUCUCUUCUUUAGAAAGAGAGUGACAAAUCUCUCUAACCCUCUUACCAAUACAAUAUCCUUCAGAGGGGGAGAGAUUAAGCCGUUUCUUUUUUUUUUUCGAUGUAAUAUAGUUUCGAUCUAUGAUCGUUAUCGGUUUCGCUUUGGCGAUCUUCCCUUUCGCGGUGGCGAUUUUGUAGUGUUAUAGAUUCAACACAAAACAUAGCAGUUCUUCGGUCUCUUGUUUUAUCUCUGUUUUGGUUGAUAGUAAUAAAGCAUCCGAUUAGAAAAUCGGAUUUGUUCUCCUCUUCCGAAACACAUCAUCAUAUCCCGUUAGCUAUAAGUCGGAUACUAUCUUCUUCGGUUAUGCGCUAAUUCCUUUCUAGAAGAAUCAAUCUUUACUCAUCUUUAUAAGAGCCUAUGUUUGGCUAAAGAGUAAAGUAUCUUCGAUGGAAAGGAAGAUGCGAUGUUGGAUUUAUCUCGGUUGAUCUGAAGGAUAUUUAGUAGAGUUGGCAUCUUGAUAAGAUGGUCCAGCAAAAAAAAUCUUUUAGAUCAAUUGAAUCUUCCCUGUUGUACCAACCGGUGUGGAAAAAGGUCUUGAUUUCUAGCGGCGGAUAGGCGGAAGAUUGGAGUUGAUGGAGUACAAAGCUUCGUGGUAAAGAAGACGGUGGCGGUAGCUGAGCUGAAGAGUUUCACCGGCGGUGUCACGGCGGAGGAGCCAANNNN